rnacentral:rRNA from 1 species
GAUGAACGCUGGCGGCGUGCCUAAUACAUGCAAGUCGAGCGAACAGACGAGGAGCUUGCUCCUCUGACGUUAGCGGCGGACGGGUGAGUAACACGUGGAUAACCUACCUAUAAGACUGGGAUAACUUCGGGAAACCGGAGCUAAUACCGGAUAAUAUAAUGAACCGCAUGGUUCAAUAGUGAAAGACGGUUUUGCUGUCACUUAUAGAUGGAUCCGCGCCGCAUUAGCUAGUUGGUAAGGUAACGGCUUACCAAGGCGACGAGGCGUAGCCGACCUGAGAGGGUGAUCGGCCACACUGGAACUGAGACACGGUCCAGACUCCUACGGGAGGCAGCAGUAGGGAAUCUUCCGCAAUGGGCGAAAGCCUGACGGAGCAACGCCGCGUGAGUGAUGAAGGUCUUCGGAUCGUAAAACUCUGUUAUUAGGGAAGAACAAAUGUGUAAGUAACUAUGCACGUCUUGACGGUACCUAAUCAGAAAGCCACGGCUAACUACGUG